rnacentral:lncRNA from 1 species
CUUGGUGCUGGCUAUACACAGAGAUAGAAGGGAAGCCCGCCCAGUUGUUUUGUGGAUACAGGGACCCAAUGCUCUGUGCUCCUAUGCCCCCCUGUGGGCCAAUAUCCAAAGACCUUGAGUGCAAGGAGCUACUGACAACGAACAAUACUUAUGGACUGCCCGAAGAACAGUGGACCUUGGCGUGGGCCGGGUAACCCACUAUUCAUAGUCAUCCCUGACUGCCCCCAUCCCUUGCUCAUGAGAAAAUUGCUCUCCAAAUUGGCUUGCGUGGGCUGAAAUGGCUGGAUGAGGCCAUGUGUAUACAUAUCUAUAGACUGUGUAUGUGGAGCUUAAGACCUGUCUCAGUACACCAGUAACUGAUGCUGGGAGUUGAAUGGCUUAGUGCUUUUCUGCCUGAAACACACCGUUCCUGCCAGCCGGGCACUAACAAUUAUCACCCAAUCCAGGACUUAAACUGUGAUAGAGUGGCUGAUAGAGUGUCCAAAGAUGGGACCACUGGUCAGCUGCCAUGGACUAGAUUCUCCACCGGUUGGGGACAAUCUGGUCACCUUGCUGCCCAAUCCGGACCUGGAGCCACCACAGCACGAGUGUCAAACACUGACAGAAGCACAUGGGUGGAGGAAAGACCUCUGCGACUGGCUGAUUGACCCCUGCUGAAAGCCGAGGACCUUGUCCACAGAUGGGAACAGUUCUCUUCAUGAAUGAAGGUCAGAGACAAGUGGGUGCUGCCAUGGUGGACAACACAAUGUCAUCUAGAAUGGCUGAACCUCUNNACCCCCCCAGCACAUCAGCACCACAGAUGCCUUUGCCAUCUCUUGGAUGCCCGGAUGAAGCCAACAACUGUGAGUACUAUUCAUUGCCCAGGAAAACAGGAGGGAAGAGAUUCAGUGACAUGGGGCAGUGACAAAACAGAUAAAGUGGCUCGGGAAAUGGCUAUACAGGAGCCUAUCCUGGUUACAGGCCUGCAAGAGACAGCCACUGAGAACUAGGAUUAGACUAAGGGAUGGCCUCACUUAGAAAAGGCCCAAAUUGCUUAAAAGAUAAAGGACAAUGACACACUUGAGGGGAAGCUAUACUCCCCAAAGAACAAACAAAAGACUCACUUUGCCAAAUAAAAAAAUAGACU